AGGACAAACGCUGGCGGCGUGCAUAAAACAUGCAAGUCGGACGAGCCAAUCCCCGCAAGGGGAAAGGCUAGUGGCGAACGGCUGAGUAACACGUAGGUGAUCUGCCCUGAAGUGGGGGAUAACGACUCGAAAGAGUCGCUAAUACCGCAUGUGACCACCGAUCCGUUUUCGGUGCUCAAAGUCGUAAGACGCUUUAGGAGGAGCCUGCGGCGGAUUAGCUAGUUGGUGAGGUAAUGGCCCACCAAGGCUUCGAUCCGUAGC
rnacentral:rRNA from 1 species